GACGAACGCUGGCGGCGUGCUUAACACAUGCAAGUCGAACGGAAAGGCCCUGCUUUUGUGGGGUGCUCGAGUGGCGAACGGGUGAGUAACACGUGAGUAACCUGCCCUUGACUUUGGGACAACUUCAGGAAACUGGGGCUAAUACCGGAUAGGAGCUCCUGCUGCAUGGUGGGGGUUGGAAAGUUUCGGCGGUUGGGGAUGGACUCGCGGCUUAUCAGCUUGUUGGUGGGGUAGUGGCUUACCAAGGCUUUGACGGGUAGCCGGCCUGAGAGGGUGACCGGCCACAUUGGGACUGAGAUACGGCCCAGACUCCUACGGGAGGCAGCAGCGGGGAAUAUUGCACAAUGGGCGGAAGCCUGAUGCAGCAACGCCGCGUGCGGGAUGACGGCCUUCGGGUUGUAAACCGCUUUCGCCUGUGACGAAGCGUGAGUGACGGUAAUGGGUAAAGAAGCACCGGCUAACUACGUG
rnacentral:rRNA from 1 species